rnacentral:lncRNA from 1 species
GAUCUGAUAAUAUUAUCAUCCUUAGAAGAAGAGACACAGAGACCUCUCUCCCUUCCCACCAUGAUGUGAGAACACCAGGGGGAGGCAGCUGUCUGCAGGCCGGGAAGAGGGCCCUUACUGGAUAUUUGUUCUGCUAAAUCUUGAUCUGGGACCCCCAGCCCCCAAAACUGCAAAAAAAAAAAAAUGUUGGUUGCACAAGGCUCCUGUCCAGAGCAUUUUGUGUUGUCAUUUAUUAUAACAACUUCUGCCAGCCCCUGACCAGCACUAGCUCAGGGACCCAAGAAUUUUCUAGGUCACAGCCCCUGUGAACAUCUAAUGAGACUAUACAUCUCCUCUCCAGAAACAGACACAAAUGCUGGACAACGUUUCAAAUCCCCUAAAGCCCAUUCCUGAUGAUCGAUGGCUUCCAGCCUAAGGACCCAGUCUUGAAGCUUCUUUCUCUUUCUGUUCUUUUGAGAUCUGGAGUCAGACUAACUUCAGCCGAAAUGGAGCCGAGCGUGUUUUGGUGGCGGAGCGCAGCAGGACCCUGGAUCAGGAAGCCAGAUGGGAGCGGGAGCUUCCUGGGCUGCUCUCCCGCCCUCCGGACCGUGCUGCGUGCUGCGGCUCUUAAGUCUAAGCCCGGGAUGUCACAGAGCAUGCUCAGCCCUGCAGGACCAGCCUCCCUGCCUUCGCCUUGCUCCAUCCGCCUUUGGGGAUUCUAACCUUCAGGGAAGGAGGUGAAGACAGUCUGGCGUCUGAGGAGUGUGUCGGGCUCCCCUCCCUUCCGGCCAUGCAGAGAGGGAAGAGCCGGGUCAAGAUUCCACCCGAGAUUCCAGUGCAAGCUCUGCCCCUUACUGGCUGGUGACAUUCUGAGCAUUCUAAGUCCCCACCUAUAAAUCGAGUCGGCCUGAAGGCUCCGGCGAGUGUAAAAUGAGCUUCUGGGAGCACAGGGCUCAGCAGUGCCAAGCACGCAGCCAGGCUCCAAUCCAUGGACAUUGUUUCACUUCCUGCAGUCCAGCAAGAGGGUCUGGAGGAGAGGGGUCACCCCGUGGGCCUCUUACCAUCACUUCUGUUUUUGACCUUUGUUCCUAUCCCUCAUUCUAUGCCACGCAGGUGUAAUUGAUAAUUAACUGAAAAAUAAAUGGCGCUCAACUCUGUCACCUAGUGGCCACACUGGGUACCUGCAGGCAGCUCCAGGCAUUCUGCAGCCAAAGAGGACAAUUUAUCAUCAUUCAUGGUUUAACCGGGGGAAAUCACCAAAGAAGACAAGAUGAUGUGGAGUAUUAAUUAUCUCUGAUUUUUUAUGAAUAGAAACUCGUUAUUUAAAAGUUUUACCUGAUAUACUAUGAUUAUAUAAAAUAUUAUCACUGGGAGAAACUAGGUGAAGAGGACUUGGGAAAUCUAUUUUUGUAGCUUGUGAAUCUAAAACUAUUUCAAAAUAAAAAGUUUAAAAUAAAAUUCAAUU